rnacentral:rRNA from 1 species
GACGAACGCUGGCGGCGUGCCUAAUACAUGCAAGUCGAGCGGAUGGAAGGAAGCUUGCUUCCUAAAGUCAGCGGCGGACGGGUGAGUAACACGUGGGCAACCUGCCCCUAAGAUCGGGAUAACUUCGGGAAACCGGAGCUAAUACCGGAUAUGAUUAUGUAUCACAUGAGACAUAAUGGAACGACGGUUCAGGCUGCCACUUAGGGAUGGGCCCGCGGCGCAUGAGCUAGUUGGUGAGGUAACGGCUCACCAAGGGGACGAUGCGUAGCCGACCUGAGAGGGUGAUCGGCCACACUGGGACUGAGACACGACCCAGACUCCUACGGGAGGCAGCAGUAGGGAAUCUUCCGCAAUGGACGAAAGUCUGACGGAGCAACGCCGCGUGAGUGAAGAAGGUUUUCGGAUCGUAAAACUCUGUUGUUAGGGAAGAACAAGUACCAUAGUAACUGAUGGUACCUUGACGGUACCUAACCAGAAAGCCACGGCUAACUACGUGCCAGCCGCCGCCGUAA